AGUGGUUGAAUGCGUUCCUCAUGCGUUGCUCAGCCGCUGCCUUGCACCUCUGGAAUUGAAUGGUCGAAGGCCACGCCCCUCCGAGCCGUAACAGAAGAUAAAUGACAGAAGUGAGCCAUAUCAGACACAGUCAGCAGCCAGGACGAGAACGAGGACUAGAACCAGAAACCAGCAACCAGCAACUAGCAACCGGCAAACAGCGGCUCUAACUGCUCUGCAUUUGGCCCUGCAGGUCGGCCAGAGAGAACACAAUUUGCCAUCUUGAGGCUGCAGACGUCAGCCGUCGUCAAGUGGAGUCCUUGUGUCCCCCCGCCCCUCGGUCCAUGCGCCAUGGUCCUUG
ensembl:ncRNA lncRNA:CR44113 long non-coding RNA:CR44113